UACGUAGGGGGCAAGCGUUGUCCGGAUUUAUUGGGCGUAAAGAGCGUGUAGGCGGUUAGGUAGGUCCGUUGUGAAAACUCGAGGCUCAACCUCGAGACGCCGAUGGAAACCAUCUGACUAGAGUCCGGAAGAGGAGAGUGGAAUUCCUGGUGUAGCGGUGAAAUGCGCAGAUAUCAGGAAGAACACCGGUGGCGAAGGCGGGUCUCUGGGCCGAUACUGACGCUGAGGAGCGAAAGCGUGGGGAGCGAACAGG
rnacentral:rRNA from 1 species